ACUUCGAUCUAAAUAUUAUUGAGUGAGUCUAUUAUUAACUCGGUAACGUAAUCGAGGGUGCUUGUAACCUUAUCCCCCGAUUAGAAAAAAAUGCGGGGAAUCAUGUUAGUGGGGUCCACAACUACACAGUAACUGUAGAAGAUUGGUACUUAUUUGUACUACAGUAGACCUGACCGCAGCGGAAAGUUCUGGGUAAGAAGGUUUAUAGGUUACACACAUCGCGCUUUCUGACAUAGACUGAUUUGACAUUUUGUGCUGAACCGGAAAAACAAAGAUCCGAUCAUUAAUUGGGGGAAUUAGGGUUAGGGUUGAGAAAUUGAAAUCGGAGAUGGCCGGUGAAGUGGGUAUGUUCAAGUUCCUGAAGCCCAAGAGUCGUCCUCACCCCGUGGAUAUCCAAGCCGCUGCCUUGUGGGGUGUCGCCGCAGGCACCACGGCUCUUUGGGUCGUCCAGCCAUUCAACUGGAUAAAGAAGACCUUUUUCGAGACUCCAGAACCAGAAAAGUGAAGUAAUUUGAAGCGUUAUGGUCAAACUUUUGGGUUCUGUGUGUGGUAUAAGAUUGCCACUGCAAUACUCUUUUUUAUGAGACUACAUUUUCAGAGUUCAUGGGAAUAAUUAUGUAUUUUUGUACUGGUAUUCGUGGUUAAUCACAUACCAUGAUGGCCUUUCUUUGAACUAAUUCCUGAGUACUGCCUCUGCCACUCUUUCAGUUUACUUGCUCAAUCUAUGUUUGUGGGUAUUUCAUCAUUA